CUCGCUCUGUCGCCCAGGCUGGGGUACAUUGGCGCGAUCUCUGCUCACCGCAAGCUCCGCCUCCUGGGUUCACGUCAUUCUCCUGCCUCAGCCUCUCCAGUAGCUGGGACUACAGGCACCCGCCACCACGCCCGGCUAAUUUUUUGUAUUUUUAGUAGAGACGAGGUUUCACCAUGUUAGCCAGGAUGGUCUCCAUCUCCUGACCUCGUGAUCCGCCCGCCUCGGCCUCCCAAAGUGCCGGGAUUACAGGCGUGAGCCACCGCGCCCGGCCCACAGGCUGCAUUUUAAUAACACUCUCUGGUGAUUUGUACGCUUGUGUGUUGGAGACCUAUUAUAUUUGCCUAACUGUCGUUCUCUGCUUCAGGAAAUCUGUCAUUUAUCUGUUUCAGGAAAUGCUCUGACUCCAACACAUAAGGUUGGUUGCAUUUUCCCUGAUACAGAAGUGGGUGUAUAACUAAGUUAAGCUAUUUAGAGUAUGCUAUCCCUGUAAACAGAGUAAUUUGUCCAUUGCUGGGCAUGUGUAAGCAAGACCAAUCAGAGUCCAUUUUUUCAGAAAAAUAUGGGUGGUGGGAGAAAGGAAAUGCUCCUCUCUCUGGGAUUAUUAGCUGUAUGGAUAAUGCAAAUCCAAAAAUUGCUGUGGCCAUCUUUGCUGCAACAUAAAGGAAAGUUCUCUGAAGUGAUUCCAGAAAAGAGGAGGACAGAAGUCAGAGAUGGAGAGAGAUAGACCCUUGAUGACAUCAAAUGAGCCUCUGGAUCCAGCUCUGCCUGAAGUCAUCUGCCCCAUGAUUUUCAGUAAUGUGAAUCAACAACAUAUUCUGCUUUUCUAGCUAAUGCAGAGAACAGAGGAGAGAUGAGGCAAAAGGGAAUAUUAGACAGAUUCAAAGCUUGAAAAGGACUUGAUCCACUAUGAGGCCAUUAAUGAAGGAAUGCAGGCUGCCUGUAACAGUUGAAAAUCACCCCAGCCAACACCCAGCAAGGAAAUGGAGACCAUAGUCCUCUAACUGUAUGGAACUGAAUUCUGCCAACAAAGUGAAUAAGAUGGGAAGUGAAGACCCUCCCAGAGCCUCCAGAAAGGAAGAGAGCCAUUCAGACACCUUGAUUUCAGCCUUCUGAAACUUGGAGCAGAGAGCCGGCUGUGUCAACCUGAACCUGGGUUUUUAACCUACAAAACUGAGAAAUAAUGAAUAGUGAUUUUUUUUUUUAAAGAUGGAGUCUAGCUCCGUCACCCAGGCUGGAGUGCAGUGGCACGAAUAGUGAUUGUUUUAAGCCACUAAAUUUAUGGUAGUUUUGUUAGGGCAGCAAUAGAAAACUAAUACAUAUGUAAUAUAGCAUUUUAUAAACUAAAAUGUCAGGCAAAUAUGUGCUCUUAUAAUUUGAUAUUGCUAUCUAUUAGAGACAUUGGGUUAAAGAAUAUACUGAACCAAUGUUGUAUUUAUUAUAAGAAAGAUAAGGGUGGGAGAUGGAAAAAAUGAUGUUAAACUCAUGAAUUUAGUUUGCUUUGCAAAUGUUUAACUUUGAGGUUGCUUUUUUCCAGAUCCCUGGAGAUUUGGCCUUUCGGCAUACAGAGAGGUUUUAUUAAAGC
ensembl:lncRNA novel transcript